rnacentral:sRNA from 1 species
UAAUGUAUGUACUUCUAAAGUCGGUGG